CCCUGUAUCGAAAGUGACUAUGGUAUGACAGUUGCCAGGUCAUUGAUAGUACAGGAAAAAAAACAUUGAAAGCUUUCCCGUGUUUAUUGGAAUGCUUGUUCCAGAUAAACCCUGUAGCUUUCAAACA